CAACUUUAUGAGUCCAUUAAACAGUUUUUGGUCACAAAUCAGCCACACCACUUCAUUUGCAAAAAAAAGUCAAGUAUCUUGGGGAGAAAUACAAGAACACUUUAAAGAGCACCAGAACUCUGACCAUCCCACAUGAGGAAGAGUUCUUCUACCAGGACUUAGUGUUAACAACUAUCAGCAGGAAUCAGUCUAAUCCACUGCAAGUAGCUCUUCAACAAUACAAGUUAGUUUCUCAAAGUUUGAAUACUAGGAAGAGUUAUGUCAACCAAAUAUUCCGGCCGUGGGUAACCCAAAAAAGGAGGAACUUUCUGAACUAGAGGAACAAAAGAUAGCAAGGAGCUAUUUCGACACAAAGAUACAACAUGCACAAUUGGUUUCAGAUGCCUAUAAUGCUAGCCAUGGUUUUGACACAAGUCCCAAAUCAGUAAGUGAAAUGUGUCAUUCUCAGGAGAGAAAGGAAAAAAAAAGGAAGAUCGAAAACCAAGAAAAGUAUUGUGACUCAGUAUACAAUCUCAGUUGGAGAAGGAAAAUCGGAGCGCAGUUGCUAAUUCUAAGGAUAUCAAUGAGAGUGCCACAUCAUCACAGAUACAUACAUUACCGGAUGGACCGGCUGUUGAGGUGAUGGUGAAGGGAAAAGCGGACGGGAAAGUAGCUUCUCCAGGAAAACAGAUCAAAAUUCAUUUCAUCGCCAAAUUAAGAGAUACAGGAUGCAUUGUUGGCUCAACCAUUGGUGCAGCUCCUCAUCAAUUUUGUCUAGGUUUGGAAAAAGUGUCAAAGGGAUUGAACAUUGGCAUUGAAGGCAUGCAUGUUGGUGAAAAGAGAA